CAGAGGGUUACUGUGCGUGCCAUGUCUUACAGUGCUUAGCCCCCUGGUGUGGUUGCCUCUGUCUUUUGACUUGUUCACUGGCUGAACUCCUUCAGAACUAGUCAGUCACAAAAACUGUAAACACCCAAUCCUUUUCUUUCUUCUACGUUUAGCCCUGUUGCUGAAGUGAAAGGACUCCGUGAUGAAGACUUAUCACUGAAAAACAACCACAGUAGCACAGACUCUUCGCAUCACAGCGGAGACCACCACCAAAGUUAGCAGACCUAAAUUACAGCAUAAGGCUCUUAGUUUCCAGAAACAGUUCUCGUUUGAGGACAAAGAGGAGGUAGCCCAGACCAACAAGGCCGUUGAUGUCAAUCCCCUGUCCAGUCUCCCCAAGGGUGAGUGCGAAUUAUCCUGCCCUUUCAAAACUACUUAAACACAGUAGUUAGAAGGGGUACAAUGUUUACUGCUUGUCUUGCUCAAUUCUAC
ensembl:lncRNA